UUUGGGGUUUUUUUUGCAUUCUUGACGUUUUUCCUGGGGGGUUUUGGGGGCGUUUUCGGGUCUCAAAUCACACGAAAAUCGCCAAAAACAGCCGAGAACACCCAGAAAAAAGAGAUUUACCUGGAAACGGGAGCGCAGGCUCUGGAGCGAUGCCGCCACUCCAGUUCUUGGCUCUGCUGCUUCUCGGCGCGGGAAUUUCGGGAAU